rnacentral:rRNA from 1 species
CAACCUGCCGUCUACUCUUGGACAGCCUUCUGAAAGGAAGAUUAAUACAAGAUGGCAUCAUGAGUCCGCAUGUUCACAUGAUUAAAGGUAUUCCGGUAGACGAUGGGGAUGCGUUCCAUUAGAUAGUAGGCGGGGUAACGGCCCACCUAGUCUUCGAUGGAUAGGGGUUCUGAGAGGAAGGUCCCCCACAUUGGAACUGAGACACGGUCCAAACUCCUACGGGAGGCAGCAG